GAUUAUGGCUCAGGAUGAACGCUGGCGGCGUGCCUAAUACAUGCAAGUCGAACGAGGUUAGCAAUAACCGAGUGGCGAACGGGUGAGUAACACGUAGGUAACCUGCCUUACAGUUUGGGAUACCCGAGGGAAACCUUGGCUAAUACCGAAUAAAUGGAUUGGAGGCAUCUCCAGUCUCUAAAAGGGGCCCUUAAAGCCUCGCUGAAAGAUGGACCUGCGGCGCAUUAGCUAGUUGGUGAGAUAACAGCCCACCAAGGCGAGGAUGCGUAGCCGACCUGAGAGGGUGAACGGCCACACUGGAACUGAGACACGGUCCAGACUCCUACGGGAGGCAGCAGUAGGGAGUUUUCGGCAAUGGGGGCAACCCUGACCGAGCAACGCCGCGUGAAUGAUGAAAGGUCUUCGGAUUGUAAAGUUCUGUUAUAAGGGAAGAAUGAUAGCGUGAGGAGAUGCUCGUUAUUUGACGGUACCUUAUGAGAAAGCCACGGCUAACUACGUGCCAGCCGCCGC
rnacentral:rRNA from 1 species